AAAAUAUGUGUUCGGGGUGUUGUGUGUGGCUUGUAAUAUGUGUUCAGUACGUCAUGGAAACAUAUGUGCAUCGCGUGUCAUGUCAAAAUACUGUCUGCUGCAUACGCAUCAAAAGGGUUUAUGAUAAAAGAGACGCAAACGUCUCGCAAGACACUAACUUACCACUAAACUCUGAUUUCACAGGAGAUUAAGCGAGCAUCUCGCAAAUGCGAGCAUCUCUUUUAUCAUAAACCCUUACGAAGCGUCUGUAGUAUUUUGACAUGACACGCAAUGCACAAAAGGUUCACAUGACGCGCCAAAAACAUAUUUUGACAUGACACGCAAUGCACAAAAGGUUCACAUGACGCGCCAAACACAUAUUUUGACAUGACACGCAAUGCACAAAGGUUCACAUGACGCGCCAAAAACAUAUUUUGACAUGACACGCAAUGCACAAAAGGUUCACAUGACGCGCCAAACACAUAUUUUGACAUGACACGCAAUGCACAAAAGGUUCACAUGACGCGCCAAACACAUAUUUUGACAUGACACGCAAUGCACAAAAGGUUCACAUGACGCGCCAAACACAUAUUUUGACAUGAUGAUCCGCACACAAGACAAUGUUUUGACGAGUUUCACGUUCGUGCCUCCUCGGAAAAGAAGUCCCGAGCCGCCACUGUGAAUGAUAUGAGUAUUGAUUAUUUGUUUAUAACUUUACAGAUGCUCAUAGUCAAUGGUAUGCUCACACAACAGCAAAAUACAAUUUUCAGUCCUGUUCAGAGUGCUGAUUGUAGUACAGUUUUGUUUAUACACAGUUUGGUUGUGAAAGAAAUUGACAACGUCUUAUUCAAAUAGUUCAGAAUAAAUACGAAGUCUUACCUUGUAAUGCAGACAUUAUAUGCGAUCAUGCCCGUGAAAACCUAGCUAAAGUCAUUUUUUGUGAUUUUGUUUUCUACAUAAAGUCAAACUAUAUAAUGUAAAGAAUUUUCUGUGAAAAUAUAACCUUUAUAUCUUUAAUAUUGACUGAUGAGUAAGGUCAGAGGUCAAAGAUUGAAAUCAGUGUAAAAUGUGGUCAAAAUUUGAUGCUCCUAAUCUCAUUAACCUGGAUUUCACAUUAUUUAAGAGUCACACCUAUUAGCAAACAUGCUAUCAAUCUCAAAAUCGAACUAUUUUUGUCUCUAAGCACUACACUGUAAUGGACUCAGGGGUUAAAUCACAUAAUUAUAGUCUAUUAACAAAAAGAUCCCAUGUGAUGUUAUUUUCUGUUCAUUCAUCUACGGUAGGCUGGUUUCAAACAAUCAUUGUAAUUAUUUAAAUUCAGUAGUUUCCCCUAAAGAAUAUUUACUGAACAGGACAAAACCAUCAUUACAAACUGUGUAUAAAGAGGUAAAAAGGUACAAAUAAUAUAUUAAAAAUUAUUUUGCACAGUGCUUAUUUUUGUACCAAAACAAUAACACAUUUUUUAAAUAGUCUUUAAGACAUUUUAACUGGAUUUCAUUGUUUAUUAGAAACUUUUUAUACAGUAACUAUCAUUUGCCAAACAACCAUUUUAUGUAUUUGAACUAAUUCCCUAUUUUUUCUGCACAGUGCCCUCCAUAAGUACCACAGUAAAGGCAAAUGCUCUGUUUGACAUUUGUAAGUUGAAUAUGAAGCAAAAGUACAGAAUGUAACAUUUUAUUAACAUUUUAUAUUUCACAAACAUGCCUUUCCAACAAAGAACAACAACCUUGCAUCCUGACUUAUGGAGGGCGCUGUAUGUUCAUGCUUAAACGUGCAAAUAUUUCUUACUCUGUAUUAUAUAACAAUGCAAAUGAAGAAUAACAUCCAGUUAAUGUGCUUUCUGUAAUACAAAUGACAUUAAAUGUAAUGUUCAAUUACAGUAAAUAGGAUUUAUUGUUUGCACUGUUUAUAUUGUUCAUCUGUUGCUAUCUCAAUAAAUACAAAACUAAUGCAAACAUACAGUAACAUUACUGAGCAAAUGAACUUCA